rnacentral:lncRNA from 1 species
AUAGAUUACCACAGAAUAUUGUUAUAUGUUGUUGAAUUUAAUGUAUAGGAAUACUGAAAUCGUGAUGUAUUUCUCCUUAGGCAUUUUUGAUUUUCGUUAUCUAUGGUUGCCAGAAUGAAGAGGUAAAAAUGUUAAAUUAUGUGUAAAAUACUUCACUGCAUAUGAAAUUUUCCACUCUCGCUCCCAGUUAAUAUAAUUUCACAUGUUAACUUUUCCUCAUUUAAUACAAUUCCACAUUUGAAAUUUUUCGAUUAUACACAUGAAAUAUAAACAUACUGUUCCUGUUUAGAUGUGGUCUUUGCAUAACAAGCGUAAAGAAGAUGAAAGACUGGUUGAGGUACAAUGAAUUAUCAUUAUUAACCCAUUGAGUGGCAGAAAUCUUCGCUUGACAAGUAAAAUUGUAGGGCUCAUUGGGGUGCGUUGCCACUUAAAGGGUUAAGAGGAUGCAUGCGUAUUUUGUUUGGUUAACACACUGAGUGGUAGCACUCUCCACUUGACAAGUAAAAUUGUCUGGCGUUAGACAAAAUACUUAAGUAGGGUGCAUUAAAGGCUUAAACCUUGAUAGUGACUCGGCACUGGUGAUGUUAAUCUCGUAAAAUAUUGAAAUUUUCUAUUUGUUGCACCAUUUGUUUCACCACAGUUUUGAUUUGGCAAUUACAUGAAAAUUAGACCCCCGGAAUAUAUUGUUCUCGAUUUGCUGCCCAACGUGAACAAUUGCUCUCACUUCCUGCUCGGAUGCUCCAUCCUAUGUGCAUGAACUUAUCAGAGAAUCGGAAAAUUGAAGUACUUUUGCAUGGAUCGGAAAAUCUUGGGCAUGAAGAUAAUGUAAAAUUAAUGCAAAAUGUCCAAUUAUUUAUUUUAAAUACAAAACGGUUUCAGGCCGAGUAACUUUUUUUUGAAGCUUGUUUUGUAAAACAUUCGUCUGUAAAACAUUGGUGUGGUAAAUUCUUCCAUAUAAAUUUCUUAUAAUAAUAUGUUUCAUGGAAAGCUUGAGAAUGAAUACCAGAAGUUCUUCCACACUAUGAUUAUUCGAUCUUUGUUUUGAUGUAAUCCUCUUUUAUGUAAUCCUCUUUGUCUUGAUAUAAGUAACCUAAAGUUUGUAAAUAAUCCGACAUAAUCUCCCUCGAUGAGCCAUGCUCUUGGAGAAAAUGUCUGUAAUAAAAUAUGUUUAAAUAAAGAAAAGAAUACAUUGUCCUUGGCAUACAAAUUUCCUGCCGACCAACCAAGUAUUUUCGUUCUAAAUCUGUGCCUAAAAAUUGAAGGAGAGAUUUCUCUCAACUUGCUUGGCUCGACAUGCUUGUCAGGGCUUCCAGCACAAAUUCAAUUUUUGAUGUGUUUCACCCCUGUUCCUAGAAUUCCCUCAGUAUUGAGGACUUUGGAAAAUACUUCCAGUACAAGAUAAUCUUCGCAUACUAAUUCGUAUUAACAUUUUGUUUCAGGAAAGGAAGAUCACUUUCACCUAUGUUCCAUGAAAAUAUUUCUAUUGACUUUCACGAAUUUAUUGAAGUAAGUUAUAAUUCUCACUAUUUGACCCUUCAAUUAUAUGGAGGAUAACCACGUUUAAUCCUAGCUUUUCUGAACGAGACAGAACGGUUUAAUACUUUUCAAUGGUGCAAAAAUUACGUGUCUUCAUUGAACAUGCUCGCUUGAGUACAACUGCCUCUGCCAAAUAUAUUUGCACAGCUGUAUGAAUAGAUUCUAAAAUAAUCUGCGUGAGAAUUUAUGUGAUAGUAGUGCACUGGUAAAUGAUUUUUUUAUUUCAGUAUAAUCGUUUAUAACUAUUUAAAGCG